UACGGAGGGUGCGAGCGUUGUCCGGAAUCAUUGGGCGUAAAGGGCGCGUAGGUGGUGCGGCAAGCGUGCGGUGAAAGCUCGGGGCUCAACCCCGAGUCGGCCGUGCGAACUGCUGGGCUUGAGCACUGUAGAGGCAGGCGGAAUUCCGGGUGUAGCGGUGGAAUGCGUAGAGAUCCGGAGGAACACCAAAGGCGAAGGCAGUGUCCUGGGGAGUACCUGACGCUCAGGUGCGAAAGCCAGGGGAGCGAACGGG
rnacentral:rRNA from 1 species